CAAUAGCGUAUAUUAAAGUUGUUGCGGUAAAAAAGCUCGUAGUUGGAUUUCUACCGAAGAUAGCCGGUCGGGUCUUCGACCUUGUAUCUGGUUUUGUCUUUGGUAUCCUCAUAGGGAACGUUUCUGCGCUUUAUUGCGUGGUGCGGUAUCCAUGACUUUUACUUUGAGGAAAUUAGAGUGUUCACGGCAGGCAAACGCCUUGAAUAUAUUAGCAUGGAAUAAUAACAUAGGAUCUUCGUCCUAUUUUGUUGGUUUCUAGGGCUAAGAUAAUGAUUAAUAGGGAUAAUUGGGGGCAUCUGUAUCAACGCGUCAGAGGUGGAAUUCUUGGAUUGCGUUGCGACAAACUACUGCGAAAGCAUUUGCCAAGGAUGUUUUCAUUGA
rnacentral:rRNA from 1 species